UACAGAGGUCCCGAGCGUUGUUCGGAUUCAUUGGGCGUAAAGGGUGCGUAGGCGGCGGGGUAAGUCUGAUGUGAAAUCCUGGGGCUCAACCCUGGAACUGCAUUGGAUACUGCCUUGCUAGAGAACUGGAGAGGAGACUGGAAUUUACGGUGUAGCAGUGAAAUGCGUAGAGAUCGUAAGGAAGACCAGUGGCGAAGGCGAGCCUCUGGACAGUUACUGACGCUGAGGCACGAAGGCCAGGGGAGCAAACGGGG
rnacentral:rRNA from 1 species